AACUUUUGGCAAUGGAUCACUUGGUUCCCGCAUCGAUGAAGAACGCAGCGAAAUGCGAUACGUAAUGUGAAUUGCAGAAUUCAGUGAAUCAUCGAAUCUUUGAACGCACCUUGCACUCUUUGGUAUUCCGAAGAGUAUGUCUGUUUGAGUGUCGUGAAACUCUCAACCCCCCUAUUUUGUAAUGAGAUGGGCUGUGGGCUUGGAUUAUGGCUGUUUGUCGGACCGUUAGGACCGGCUCAGCUGAAAUGCACACGCGGACACGUACUUAAGUAAUAAAGCGACGGCUUGACUCUGCGUAAUAAUUUUACCUCGCUGAGGACGUUUAGCACCUUUUCACUAGUAUUGAUUCCGCUACCAACGCGAAUGUAAAUUCAUUUUUACUUUAGACCUCAAAUCAGGCAGGGCUACCCGCUGAACUUAAGCAUAUCAAUAAGCGGAGGCU
rnacentral:misc_RNA from 1 species